UGAGACACAGCUUUCUUGGGUCUUGGG
rnacentral:piRNA from 1 species